UUAGUUUGAAAGCAGCACGCUGCACAGAAGAUUUUCACAAGAUUGGGAGGGCGAGCCGAAGCUCUUCUCGAUAAUGAUCCACACGCAGGUUCACCUACGGAAA
rnacentral:misc_RNA from 1 species